CAUGGGCUCUUUUUCCUUAUUUGUUUUUACAUAUGUGUGUGUUUGUAAAUACAUAAAUAAAACUACUCAGUCUGCAAAACGUUACUUGUGUGUAUGGUUUCAGGGCUGACCAUUUGGUGUUGGAUACCCAGUUGGUGUGUUCUUCGCUGGGGAAGACUAUGUCUCCUGCUCUCGGUGUUCCUUAGGUGUCUGUAGUUCUUUAUCUAUGGUUGAGGCCUCUGGAGCUUUCGUCCUUCAGUUUACUGUAUCAUCCUUGUUCAGGUCAUGUUUAGACAGACAUGUUGGUAAGACUUCAUGGCUCUAUCUUCUGGCAUUCCUAGGAGACACAACCUUACAGCAAAACUCUCUAAUACUCUGGCUCUUCCAACCUUUCCUUCUCCAAUUCCACAAUGAAAGGAAUGGAAGUUUCAAUGCCAUGCAAGCUUGUUAAGAAGUAUAGCAUUUUAUAUACUAUUUUCAGGGGAGAAAUGGGACAAUGCCAGUAGAAAUAAUCACACCAGAGGACCAAGUCAGCAGGAAGCUAAUCAAAUAAUAUUGUAUAAGAGGAUUACUAGGUAUCUCAAAAAUACUAUAGACAAAGAUCAUAUCAGCUAGUAACCAUAGCCCCUAACAGUAGAAAGAGUUGGCUACUCAGGUUUUUGUUUUUAUAAAAUCAUUACAUUGAAAGGAACAAGGGUUGUCCACAUUUUCCUUUCAUAACAUUGCUUUCUGAUGUGUUAAUGAAAACAGUCACCACUGUUCAAGACCAACGUGCCACAAUUUUCUGUCACCAUUGGGAGGCUGUUGUGACUUUGUGGAAAGUUGUUUGGAAGUUUCCUUUCCUGCUGUUUUGUGCCUGCAGAUGGGAAUGGUAUAAAAGAAACAAUAAAAAUGGGCAGUGCCAUUUGUAUGACCUUAUUCUUCCAAAUUAUAGGUUCUUCUGUUCAGUAAUAACAAGUGGUAGUGAGGACAUCCGAUAUUUCCAGAGAAAGAAUUUUCUUGUUGAGAAAAAAAAACCUUCUUGGAAACAGGAAAUCAAUUUUAGUUGACCACAUUUGGAGUCCCAAAUUAAAAGGCAGAGUCAUCUGAGAAGAAGGACCCUCUAUUGACGAGUCACUUUCAUCUGACUAGCCAGUAGGCAAGUCUGUGGGGCAGACCCUCCCUGGGGACUGAUAUGUGAACGCCAAG
rnacentral:lncRNA from 1 species